UACGUAGGGGGCAAGCGUUAUCCGGAUUUACUGGGUGUAAAGGGAGCGUAGGCGGUCUGGCAAGUCUGAUAUGAAACUCCGGGGCUCAACCCCGUAACUGCAUUGGAAACUGUCAGGCUAGAGUGCAGGAGAGGAAAGUGGAAUUCCUAGUGUAGCGGUGAAAUGCGUAGAUAUUAGGAAGAACACCAGUGGCGAAGGCGGCUUUCUGAACUGUAACUGACGCUGAGGCUCGAAAGCGUGGGGAGCAAAC
rnacentral:rRNA from 1 species